AGAGUUUGAUCCUGGCUCAGGACGAACGCUGGCGGCGUGCCUAACACAUGCAAGUCGAACGAGUCCACCCUUUCGGGGGUGAGGCGAGUGGCGGACGGGUGAGUAACACGUGAGCAAUCUGUCCCUGUGCGGGGGAUAACUCGGGGAAACUCGAGCUAAUACCGCAUGGGCGGCUGGCAGGAUCUGCCGGCUGGGAAAGGUGGCCUCUUUACAAUGCUGCCGUGCAGGGAGGAGCUCGCGGGCUAUCAGCUAGUUGGUGCGGUCAUGGCGCACCAAGGCGACGACGGCUACGGGGUCUGAGAGGACCACCCCGCACAUUGGAACUGAGACACGGUCCACACUCCUACGGGAGGCAGCAGUGGGGAAUUUUGGGCAAUGGCCGAAAGGCUGACCCAGCGACGCCGCGUGUGGGAGGAAGCUCUUCGGGGUGUAAACCACUGUCAGGGGGGACGAAAGAGGGGGGGAAGGGAAUACUUCUCACCAGUGACGGUACCCUCAAAAGAAGCACCGGCUAUCUCUGUGCCAGCAGCCGCGGUAAUACAGAGGGUGCAAGCGUUGUUCAGAAUCACUGGGCGUAAAGCGCGCGCAGGCGGACGUGCAAGUCUGGGAGUGAAAUCCAGCCGCUCAACGGCUGGGCUGCUUCAGAUACUACAU
rnacentral:rRNA from 1 species